rnacentral:rRNA from 1 species
AGUGGAUGGGGAGCAACCUAGUUGUGCGUGUGUAAAGGUAGUGCCAAGAAAAGCGAUGAUCAUGUUGAAAAUCAAUUCCCGGUACCCGAAACCGACACAGGUGGGCAAGUAGAGAAUACUAAGGGGCGCGAGGUAACUCUCUCCAAGGAACUCGGCAAAAUGACCCCGUAACUUAGGGAGAAGGGGUGCCACCGAGAGGUGGUCGCAGUGAAGAGGCCCAGGCGACUGUUUAGCAAAAACAUAGGUCUCUGCAAACUCGAAAGAGGAGGUAUAGGGGCUGACGCCUGCCCAGUGCCGGAAGGUUAAAGAAGUUGGUCAGUUUUAGGAUGAAGCUAGCGACUGAAGCCCCGGUGAACGGCGGCCGUAACUAUAACGGUCCUAAGGUAGCGAAAUUCCUUGUCGGGUAAGUUCCGACCCGCACGAAGGGCGUAACGAUCUGGGCGCUGUCUCGGAGAGAGGCUCGGCGAAAUAGGAUUGUCUGUGAAGAUACGGACUACCUGCAUUUGGACAGAAAGACCCUAUGAAGCUUUACUAUAGCUUGGAAUUGUGUUCGGGCUUCCUGUGCGCAGGAUAGGUGGGAGGCGUAGAAGGUAUUCUUGUGGGGAUACUGGAGCCAACGGUGAGAUACCACUCUCAGGAGGCUAGAAUUCUAACUUAAUUAAGGACAGUUUCAGGUGGGUAGUUUGACUGGGGCGGUCGCCUCCAAAAAGGUAACGGAGGCGUACAAAGGUUCCCUCAGACUGGUUGGAAAUCAGUCGAAGAGUGCAAAGGCAGAAGGGAGCUUGACUGCGAGAAGUACAGUUCGAGCAGGGUGGAAACACGGUCUUAGUGAUCCGACGGUGCUGUGUGGAAGGGCCGUCGCUCAACGGAUAAAAGUUACUCUAGGAUAACAGGCUGAUCUCCCCCAAGAGUUCACAUCGACGGGGAGGUUUGGCACCUCGAUGUCGGCUCAUCGCAACCUGGGGCGGAAGUACGUCCCAAGGGUUGGGCUGUUCGCCCAUUAAAGCGGUACGUGAGCUGGGUUCAGAACGUCGUGAGACAGUUCGGUCCAUAUCCGAUGUAGGCGUGAGAAUAUUGAGAGGAGCCUUCCUUAGUACGAGAGGACCGGGAAGGACGCACCGCUGGUGUACCUGUUAUGAUGCCAAUUGUAAACGCAGGGUAGCCAAGUGCGGAGAGGAUAACCGCUGAAAGCAUCUAAGUGGGAAGCCCACCUCAAGAUGAGUAUUCUGGUGUAAGGUCACGGGAAGACGACCCGUAAAUAGGCACGAGGUGGAAGUGCAGAGAUGUAUGAAGCCGAAGUGUACUAAUAGACCGUCGGCUUGAUC